CACCCUGAACUUAAAACUGUAGAGCACGGGCCACCAAAUCUGAGGUCUCACUCUGAAGGCAAAAAUAUGAACAAAGAAGAAGAAGAAAAGCAGAGAGAAAGAGAUGACGAGAAGAAGAACAAAAGCUCGAUAGUAAUAAAGAUACCUUCAUACCAAGAAGUUCUGGAGAGCUCUCAAUCCAAAACCACCUCGUCUCUCUUCACUCCUUCCCCUUCUUUCUCUCAGGCCUUCUCCUUCGUCAAAUCCUCCCAAUCCUACACUCCUCCUCCUCCUGCUACUCCUCCUCCUCCACCCCCUCCCUCUUCCAGGCAAGUUGAGCAAUUGGAGGCUCCUUCUUCGUCUUCUUCUUCGCCUUCGUUGUCGAGGUCUGCUCAGAGUCGCAAUGCAAUUCUUGUGAGCCAUAGGCAGAAGGGAAAUCCCUUGCUCAAACACAUCAGGAAUGUGAGGUGGGAUUUUGCAGAUAUUGUUUGUGACUACCUGCUUGGGCAGAACUCCUGUGCACUCUAUCUAAGUCUUCGGUAUCAUCUGCUUCAUCCUGACUACCUAUACUAUCGUAUAAGAGAAUUGCAGAAGAACUUCAAGCUUCGUGUUGUUUUAUGCCAUGUUGAUGUGGAGGAUGUUAUUAAACCUUUACUUGAAGUCACUAGAACAGCUCUACUUCAUGAUUGCACCCUUUUGUGUGCUUGGAGCUUGGAAGAAUGUGGGCGGUACUUGGAGACAAUUAAAGUCUACGAAAACAAGUCUGCAGACAUUAUUCAAGGACAAACAGAUACAGACUAUUUAUCACGGCUAACUCAUGCUCUAACAACAGUUCGACAUGUUAACAAGACUGAUGUAGUUACCCUUGGUUCCACAUUUGGGUCUCUUUCUCAUAUCAUGGAUGCAUCGAUGGAAGAUCUAGCUCGUUGCCCUGGUAUAGGGGAGCGCAAGGUCAAUGCUCACAAUUUCCAUUGAUGCAAAUUGAAGAAAGAAUUGAAGCAAGCUCAUGUCCAAGGCAUCAUCAAAAGCUUAACACAUGUCACUCUAAUCCAUAAAUUACAUCUCUUUGCUCUUAUCUUAAAAAUCGUUGGCUUCCAAUUGAGUUUGCUUUUCUACCUGUUGGUAGAACCUUGGUAUUUAGUUUCUUGCGUUCUUGCCUUAUUGGGUUACUAGCCAGAGAACAAAAUAGUCCUUUCAAAUUGCAGAAAGCCAGAGUGAGAGGCCUGAAACUCAAAGCGCAGAAAAAGGCCAGGCAGGACCCUCAACAGCCCAAUACAGAGGUUCAGUUGCAGCUUCUCCAAGUUUCACUUCGUAUCUCUCUCUUCCUUACUGUUAGGUGUGGUUUUUCAUUUCUUCUGUGGAUAUAGGCAAGUUUUUCCUUGUACCAUAAUUGUAGAACAAACUUCAUAGUACUGCCAAUUACUUCACCUCUAUUCUUUAUGUUCAGAGCUUGUCAAAAUGUAUGAUAUUUGCUCUGAGCAUUCUUUCUGCUUGUUCAUUUUGAAAGCUUUGGACAACCGAAACGGGAUUCAUACAUAUUCGCUAGAAACCUAUAAAGAUUGGUUCCAUAAUUUCCACAAUUGUGAUGCAAAAUGUAAGUGCAUUGAUGCAGCAGGGCAACUAUGUUGUUGAUAAAAUGAACAACUUUUUUUAUCAUCAUAGAUUGAAUGUGCCUCUCUUCUUAUGAGUUGGAUUGAGAAGGGUUCUUCAUUAGUCUGCUUCUGUGUUCAAUGCCCACUGGAUUGCACCAAGUCAGAUUAUUAUACCUGCUUUGUGGAUCUCCUUGACCAGGACAGUUUGUCAGAGGUGGAAAAAAUUUCAUUGAUAGAUACUGAUUAAACUGGGUAGUGUUGUACAGGAUUCAUGUAAAUUAAUAGAAUAUGAUCAAAACCAUGGUGGCAGUCAUGUUCUUUCUAACGGGUAUUCUGAGUCCAUGAAAGGAGAAGAUGUUGAAGAAGACAGAACCAUGAGAAGAUAUAUUAACUGGGUUGAAGGGCUUGCUGGAAACAGAUCCCAAGAAAAAAACACAGGAGGCCUGUCUGAUGUGGAAAAAAAUGAUCAGAGAGAUGGAAGAAUCUAGGGCAUAAGGGCAGGACAAGGGGACUAUCUGGGGCAAAUCUUAUGCUUUGCUUGGGGGUUUAUCUGCAGUACGGCUGUUGGAGAUGACUAAGGCUGCAAGCUGUUGCAACACCAAUCCUGGUUCUACUUUCAAAGAUAUUCUAUGGUUCAAGAUGGUUGCUUACAAAGGACAAUAACAUCUUAUGUACCAAGCCAAGUUCCCAAGCUGCCUUCUGAUUCAGAGUAUUGAUGCUGGCUUCUCUGAUAAGUUUUGCUUCUCUCCUCAUGUUACUUGCUCUGGUGAAUGGUAAUGGUUGUUGCUAAAGCUCGUAGCUGUAUUAACAUGAAAUGCACAGUGGGACUUUUAAGAUGCUGAAAAAUCAGGCUGGCCAACUAUGACUCUUGUCUAAGACUCUCAAUCACAUAAACCCUGCUGAAAGACAUGAAAAUAUUGAAUGGGGUCUGAAAGAAUCCAUAGAAUCUUUUUCUUUUUUUUUAAUAACAAAUUGCUGAAUAUUUUCAGUGAGUCUCUGUGGGAUGAACCUGGAAAGGGUUGCUUGGAUUUUGAACAGAUCGAUUUUGCAUCUUCCAUGAAGCUCCUAAUACCUUGGGCUCAGCAUCUGAAAUCUGGAGGAACAAGAGGAACUAACAGAAGAGUGAUUCUUAACCAGAGGGAUUAGUGACUGCACAACAUCUGUCAUUAGGGGCCGGUAAUCUGCUUCAUGUUGCACACACACAGCUGCAAUAGCGGCUAUCUAUAAUACCAGUACAUCAAAAGAAAAGAGGGUUAGUUGAAUGUUAAUUGUCAAUAAUGACAAUAAUGCUGAUGAUGACAGCUGCAUUAGCAGCUAUCUAUAAGACCAUUACAAAAAAAACAAAGAACGGUUAGUUGAA